ensembl:lncRNA
GGCACGCCCCUGCGGACGUCAGCUCCCGGCGGCCCGCGCCGGCGCGAACCGGUUGAUGAAUGGUGAGGGCGGGCGCGUGAGUGGCUCUUGGUGGGGCCGACGGGAGCGCUGGAAGCCUGUGGGGAAGGGGCCGAGCGCGAGGGGGAGCCGUCUGGACGGGAGCGGCUCCCGCCGAGAACCCACCGCACCGAGCCACCUGGGCACGAGCGUCACGCGGAGGCCGGCGUCUGAGGGACGCGCCAGCCGAGCCGGGUUACCUCGGGCACGCGCCCUUGCCAUCUCCGUCAGCCAGGGACAUUUGUGUUGCCCGAGCGCCGGCCUGGUGACUCACGGCCGAAUGCGGGACGUGACGGGAGGAGCCGGCCUGGGUCUCGUCUUCAGAGCCCGGCCUGCGAGCUUUCGAAAGCCCGGGAGCUGUGGUGCUGCUGCCGCUGCUGCCACCGUGCAGUGGCCACACUGCCCAAACCCAGGGUUUCUGAAGAAGACUCUGGUCAUGUCAUGGACUGAUGUCAUUCUUUGCGUCAAAACCUAAGCUUUUCUUUUCUCAUUCUCAGCCCUGUGGUUCCACUGUCUAAUUAGGCCUUUAAGAAGGGAAAGCCUUACUGCAGUUUUGUGCCAUACAAGGGCGAGGGCGUCAUUGAUAAGCUGAAAAUCCUUUCUCCUCUGCUUUCUGGAAGGAGUAAACAAGACCUUUACCUGCUUUGCAGAACUUGGUUUCCCCCUAAUACUGAGGCCUUUUGUUUGCUGUUUUCCCUGAGCAUUAGAUUGAAGCAGGCUUUAGGGAUCAGAUUGUGUCCACAGUCACUAUAAUGUAUCAUCUCAGGAUUUAUUAGACCUUCUAAUUAGAGACUGGUUGUACAGUUAUUCAACUUUCUUAUAAAAAUGUACUCUAAGCAAAGUAAGUGCUUUUGAGGAACAGAAUUAGGCUAGACUUUUGAAAGAACAAAAGUCAACUCAUCUUCAUUUUAAAGAAAACUGCCUGCCUAGCAAUCCAUUUAAGUGAAGGAAAACUAGAGAGCCUGAGAUACAGAUUAUGUCCCUUCACAAAUAUAAAAAGAAUAAGUCUGAGAGAAUAUAGGAAGAUUUAAAAAGUCCUGUGAUGGUAAGGUUGAAGCUAAGCAGACCAGGGAACUCAAAUCUCAAAGAAAAAGAUUCAUUUUAUAGAAAUUAAAAACUCAUGGCAAGUGACAAAUAGUAAUUUCAUGUUGCGGUAAAAUAGUGGCAAUCUGUAGCACAGGCAGAUUUAAAUGACAAGGUUGUUUAACGUAGAAAGCAUAACUAAAGACAGCCAAUCUUACCCCCAAGCUAAUACAGUGUUGAUAACUAGAAUAGUGAAACUAUUCUGCAUGUAAUGACUUUUCAAAAAAAGGUGGGAUAAGAUCUAGACUCCACAAAUGCUAAGCAGAGCUCUGUCUGCGUUAAGCUAGUUUUCUUGUAGAGUUUGUGAUACAAGCUGUGACUUGUGCUCCACAGAUCCUGUGAUUACCACCAGCAGUGCUGACAUGAAGUACUGAGCUAUGCUCUUCUAGCCCAAAUGCUGUGCUCAAACUGGGAGAAUCAGCCUCCCGGGCAACGUAUCACCCUGUCCUACUUUGAAAAGGACAUAGUUCAAGGAUGAAGAACAGAGGCUUUUGCUGCUGAGAGAACAUAUUUUAAACAAGUCAUAAGUGGAGGCUUGAUAACCAGCCUGCUAAAUUCUCUUAGGGUAGUCAUGGGUCUGCCUCUCUGGCCACUGCCAUGUUAUGUAUCCUGAGCUGCAGUGGCUCACUGCUGUGCAGAAGGUAUCUGCUCUAUUGAGUCCAAUAGUUUCAAGCUGCUGAUUCUCAGAGCAGUAAUCCAUCCCAGCAUUGGUCUGAAGAACCCUGUGAACUGAGAAUUCACUAACCUUCACAGACUGGCUCGGCACUAGCACCUCUACUUCUCUACAGGUGAUCUCUAAUAGCCUUGCAGGCAGUGGUCCAGACAUCAAAAACUAAAAAAAAUCUUUAAAAGCCAAUGCUUACUAUAAACUCUAAAAGAUUUUUCUCUCCUGCUAAACAAGAUAGCCCCUUAGAGAGAAGUUAUUUCUUUUAACUAAAUAUGUGUCCUUGACGAAAUAAUGAGGACUUUUCCUCAGUAUAACCGAAAUAGAAAAGUCAAAAGCAGGAAAACAAAGACUGUAAGAAUAUAAGGAAAACCCUCAUGGGAGAUGAGAGAAUGGAAGCCAAUAAAUCAGAAAUCUUUACAAGGAUACCAGAUCUAGUAAACAUUGAUUCUGUUUAUUCCAGGUGUACAAAAGAAAUGGAAGAUUCAUCCUUUUCAGGUGACCUGGAUGCACUCUUGAGGGCAUCAAGUGGAAUGAUCGAGAAGUGGAACUGGGUUGAUUUUCCUGUACCUGUGCAGAGGAAGAUUGCAACAGAAUUGAGGCUGUGACUGGGCACACAAAGGGGCAAGGGCUCUGUGGAUUUGAAAGUUAGGGUUUCUUUAUUCAGCUCUUUGUUGGGAGGAGGCAUUGCUGUUGUAGAUAUAUCUUACUAUGGGAACGCUGUGUUAAAUAUUGAGUGCAAAUUGUAUGCUGGUAAUGUACUAAACACUGUAUCAGUCUUCCUGUAAGUCUCUCUGGAAUAAAAUGAUCAUAAAAAUCAGG